GAGUUCAUGUUUUUUGCUGAUU
rnacentral:miRNA from 1 species